rnacentral:rRNA from 1 species
GGUUAAGCGACUAAGCGUACACGGUGGAUGCCCUGGCAGUCAGAGGCGAUGAAGGACGUGCUAAUCUGCGAAAAGCGUCGGUAAGGUGAUAUGAACCGUUAUAACCGGCGAUGUCCGAAUGGGGAAACCCAGUGCAAUUCGUUGCACUAUCGUUAACUGAAUACAUAGGUUAGCGAGGCGAACCGGGGGAACUGAAACAUCUAAGUACCCCGAGGAAAAGAAAUCAACCGAGAUUCCCCCAGUAGCGGCGAGCGAACGGGGAGCAGCCCAGAGUCUGAAUCAGCUUGUGUGUUAGUGGAACGGUCUGGAAAGUCCGACGGUACAGGGUGAUAGUCCCGUACACCAAAAUGCACAGGUUGUGAACUCGAAGAGUAGGGCGGGACACGUGGUAUCCUGUCUGAAUAUGGGGGGACCAUCCUCCAAGGCUAAAUACUCCUGACUGACCGAUAGUGAACCAGUACCGUGAGGGAAAGGCGAAAAGAACCCCGGCGAGGGGAGUGAAAAAGAACCUGAAACCGUGUACGUACAAGCAGUGGGAGCACCUUCGGGUGUGACUGCGUACCUUUUGUAUAAUGGGUCAGCGACUUAUAUUCUGUAGCAAGGUUAACCGUAUAGGGGAGCCGCAGGGAAACCGAGUCUUAACUGGGCGUUAAGUUGCAGGGUAUAGACCCGAAACCCGGUGAUCUAGCCAUGGGCAGGUUGAAGGUUGGGUAACACUAACUGGAGGACCGAACCGACUAAUGUUGAAAAAUUAGCGGAUGACUUGUGGCUGGGGGUGAAAGGCCAAUCAAACCGGGAGAUAGCUGGUUCUCCCCGAAAGCUAUUUAGGUAGCGCCUCGUGAACUCAUCUUCGGGGGUAGAGCACUGUUUCGGCUAGGGGGUCAUCCCGACUUACCAACCCGAUGCAAACUACGAAUACCGAAGAAUGUUAUCACGGGAGACACACGGCGGGUGCUAACGUCCGUCGUGAAGAGGGAAACAACCCAGACCGCCAGCUAAGGUCCCAAAGUCAUGGUUAAGUGGGAAACGAUGUGGGAAGGCACAGACAGCCAGGAUGUUGGCUUAGAAGCAGCCAUCAUUUAAAGAAAGCGUAAUAGCUCACUGGUCGAGUCGGCCUGCGCGGAAGAUGUAACGGGGCUAAACCAUGCACCGAAGCUGCGGCAGCGACACUAUGUGUUGUUGGGUAGGGGAGCGUUCUGUAAGCCUGCGAAGGUGACCUGUGAGGGUUGCUGGAGGUAUCAGAAGCGCGAAUGCUGACAUAAGUAACGAUAAAGCGGGUGAAAAGCCCGCUCGCCGGAAGACCAAGGGUUCCUGUCCAACGUUAAUCGGGGCAGGGUGAGUCGACCCCUAAGGCGAGGCCGAAAGGCGUAGUCGAUGGGAAACAGGUUAAUAUUCCUGUACUUGGUGUUACUGCGAAGGGGGGACGGAGAAGGCUAUGUUAGCCGGGCGACGGUUGUCCCGGUUUAAGCAUGUAGGCUGGUUGUCCAGGCAAAUCCGGAUAAUCAAGGCUGAGGUGUGAUGACGAGGCACUACGGUGCUGAAGUAACAAAUGCCCUGCUUCCAGGAAAAGCCUCUAAGCAUCAGGUAACAUUAAAUCGUACCCCAAACCGACACAGGUGGUCAGGUAGAGAAUACCAAGGCGCUUGAGAGAACUCGGGUGAAGGAACUAGGCAAAAUGGUGCCGUAACUUCGGGAGAAGGCACGCUGGUGUGUAGGUGAAGCCCCUGCGGGUGGAGCUGAGACCAGUCGAAGAUACCAGCUGGCUGCAACUGUUUAUUAAAAACACAGCACUGUGCAAACACGAAAGUGGACGUAUACGGUGUGACGCCUGCCCGGUGCCGGAAGGUUAAUUGAUGGGGUUAUCCGUAAGGAGAAGCUCUUGAUCGAAGCCCCGGUAAACGGCGGCCGUAACUAUAACGGUCCUAAGGUAGCGAAAUUCCUUGUCGGGUAAGUUCCGACCUGCACGAAUGGCGUAAUGAUGGCCAGGCUGUCUCCACCCGAGACUCAGUGAAAUUGAACUCGCUGUGAAGAUGCAGUGUACCCGCGGCAAGACGGAAAGACCCCGUGAACCUUUACUAUAGCUUGACACUGAACAUUGAGCCUUGAUGUGUAGGAUAGGUGGGAGGCUUUGAAGCGUGGACGCCAGUCUGCGUGGAGCCAACCUUGAAAUACCACCCUUUAAUGUUUGAUGUUCUAACGUUGGCCCCUUACCGGGGUUGCGGACAGUGUCUGGUGGGUAGUUUGACUGGGGCGGUCUCCUCCCAAAGCGUAACGGAGGAGCACGAAGGUUAGCUAAUCCUGGUCGGACAUCAGGAGGUUAGUGCAAUGGCAUAAGCUAGCUUGACUGCGAGCGUGACGGCGCGAGCAGGUGCGAAAGCAGGUCAUAGUGAUCCGGUGGUUCUGAAUGGAAGGGCCAUCGCUCAACGGAUAAAAGGUACUCCGGGGAUAACAGGCUGAUACCGCCCAAGAGUUCAUAUCGACGGCGGUGUUUGGCACCUCGAUGUCGGCUCAUCACAUCCUGGGGCUGAAGUAGGUCCCAAGGGUAUGGCUGUUCGCCAUUUAAAGUGGUACGCGAGCUGGGUUUAGAACGUCGUGAGACAGUUCGGUCCCUAUCUGCCGUGGGCGCUGGAGAAUUGAGGGGGGCUGCUCCUAGUACGAGAGGACCGGAGUGGACGCAUCACUGGUGUUCGGGUUGUCAUGCCAAUGGCACUGCCCGGUAGCUAAAUGCGGAAGAGAUAAGUGCUGAAAGCAUCUAAGCACGAAACUUGCCCCGAGAUGAGUUCUCCCUGAGACUUUAAGUCUCCUGAAGGAACGUUGAAGACGACGACGUUGAUAGGCCGGGUGUGUAAGCGCAGCGAUGCGUUGAGCUAACCGGUACUAAUGAACCGUGAGGCUUAACCUU